AGUGAACGCUGGCGGUAGGCCUAACACAUGCAAGUCGAACGGCAGCACAGUAAGAGCUUGCUCUUACGGGUGGCGAGUGGCGGACGGGUGAGGAAUACAUCGGAAUCUACUUUUUCGUGGGGGAUAACGUAGGGAAACUUACGCUAAUACCGCAUACGGCCUACGGGUGAAAGCAGGGGAUCUUCGGACCUUGCGCGAUUGAAUGAGCCGAUGUCGGAUUAGCUAGUUGGCGGGGUAAAGGCCCACCAAGGCGACGAUCCGUAGCUGGUCUGAGAGGAUGAUCAGGCAAACUGGAACUGGGAAAAGGUCCAGACUCCUACGGGAGGCAGCAGGGGGGAAUAUUGGACAAUGGGGGGAAGCCUGAUCCAGGCAUACCGGGUGGGUGAAGAAGGCCUUCGGGUUGGAAAGCCCUUUUGUUGGGAAAGAAAAGCAGCAGGUUAAUACCCCGCUGUUCUGACGGUACCCAAAGAAUAAGCACCGGCUAACUUCGUG
rnacentral:rRNA from 1 species